rnacentral:rRNA from 1 species
AGUGAACGCUGGCGGUAGGCCUAACACAUGCAAGUCGAACGGCAGCACAGUAAGAGCUUGCUCUUACGGGUGGCGAGUGGCGGACGGGUGAGGAAUACAUCGGAAUCUACUUUUUCGUGGGGGAAAACGUAGGGAAACUUACGCUAAUACCGCAUACGACCUACGGGUGAAAGCAGGGGAUCUUCGGACCUUGCGCGAUUGAAUGAGCCGAUGUCGGAUUAGCUAGUUGGCGGGGUAAAGGCCCACCAAGGCGACGAUCCGUAGCUGGUCUGAGAGGAUGAUCGGCCACACUGGAACUGAGACACGGUCCAGACUCCUACGGGAGGCAGCAGUGGGGAAUAUUGGACAAUGGGCGCAAGCCUGAUCCAGCCAUACCGCGUGGGUGAAGAAGGCCUUCGGGUUGUAAAGCCCUUUUGUUGGGAAAGAAAAGCAGCAGGUUAAUACCCCGCUGUUCUGACGGUACCCAAAGAAUAAGCACCGGCUAACUUCGUG